UACGGAGGGUGCAAGCGUUAAUCGGAAUUACUGGGCGUAAAGGGUGCGUAGGUGGUUUUCUAAGUUAUCUGUGAAAUUCCUGGGCUCAACCUAGGGCGGUCAGAUAAGACUGGAGGACUCGAGUAUGGGAGAGGGUAGUGGAAUUUCCGGUGUAGCGGUGAAAUGCGUAGAGAUCGGAAGGAACACCAGUGGCGAAGGCGGCUACCUGGCCUAAUACUGACACUGAGGCACGAAAGCGUGGGGAGCAAACAGG
rnacentral:rRNA from 1 species